GACGUAGGGAGCGAGCGUUGUCCGGAUUCAUUGGGCGUAAAGAGCGCGCAGGCGGUUUGGUAAGUCGGACGUGAAAACCCGGGGCUCAACCCCGGGCGUGCAUCUCGAUACUGCCCGACUAGAGGUAGGUAGGGGAGAUCGGAAUUCCUGGUGUAGCGGUGAAAUGCGCAGAUAUCAGGAGGAACACCGGUGGCGAAGGCGGAUCUCUGGGCCUUACCUGACGCUCAGGCGCGAAAGCUAGGGGAGCGAACAGG
rnacentral:rRNA from 1 species